rnacentral:rRNA from 1 species
AUUGAACGCUGGCGGAAUGCUUUACACAUGCAAGUCGAACGGCAGCACGGGUGCUUGCACCUGGUGGCGAGUGGCGAACGGGUGAGUAAUAUAUCGGAACGUAUCCAAUAAUGGGGGAUAACUAAUCGAAAGGUUGGCUAAUACCGCAUACGCCCUACGGGGGAAAGCAGGGGAUCUUCGGACCUUGCGUUAAUGGAGCGGCCGAUAUCUGAUUAGCUAGUAGGUGAGGUAAAGGCUCACCUAGGCGACGAUCAGUAGCUGGUCUGAGAGGACGACCAGCCACACUGGAACUGAGACACGGUCCAGACUCCUACGGGAGGCAGCAGUGGGGAAUUUUGGACAAUGGGCGCAAGCCUGAUCCAGCCAUUCCGCGUGAGUGAAGAAGGCCUUCGGGUUGUAAAGCUCUUUCGCAAGGGAAGAAACGAUACAGUCUAAUAAACUGUGUUAAUGACGGUACCUUGAUAAGAAGCACCGGCUAACUACGUGCCAGCAGCCGCAGUAA